GGAGAACACAAAUCGGUCCUUUCAGUCCUACAGACUCUCUUGUCUGAUACAGUGCGGAGAUGAUCUACUUGCAGGCAAUGAUCUAGCUGAAAACGGACUGGAACAAUUCCAGAACGCUCUCACUAGAUGACUGUCCACAGGUUGAGACCUCACGCUGCCAAAGGAUGGCUUUGGCAUUUUGCCUAACGCUUGCAUUUUAUUUUUUUUGUUUGGAGGAGAGGAGGAGUCUCCCACGGGACUCAGCACUGGGGUCCAUUGCCCUGCUCCAGUGGCUCGUGAGGGGUUUUCAUUCAGAAACCUUCAUCAGUCCUCUGGUUGGGGUCCAGUGGACCUGUAGUGUACGGCACCAGAUCCAUGGGCUGCUGAUGAAGCACCAGAAACUAGAAGCAACCUAAGAAACUCCUACAACCACAACAUAAGCAACAUGACGCUUAAAGACACAUGAAGUCGACUACUUUUCCCUUACCCUUACCUUUUUCUAUGGUCGGCUUCUGGUCGUCUGUUGCUUGGUUGGCAGGUCAUGAGGAUGGCCUGCUGUGAAAUGACCUAUUUUUAUUUUUAUUUUUUUAAAGGCUGAGUGCAAAUUUCAAAAAUAAAUACAGAAAAUAAUAAAAACAGAAAAAUGUGUUAAACUGAAACAAA